GGAGGCAGAAUUUUCCCAGCAUCCUCAUACUAUGUCCCCUCAGGACUUACUGAGCUGAGAGCAAUGGCCACCCUUAGGCCAGUGCUCCCGCCUUUCCUGAGCUCACAGCAUCUGCACACAAAUAGACUGGGGUUCUGUUAGCAGGGAAAUGUUGAGGGCUGUGUGGAAUCCUAUUUUCACAGAAGUGAACUGGUUUAAAAAAAAGCAAAAGUUCAACUUUAAUGGAUAUGAUUAGCUUAUAAAACUUUGUAAUAUGUGUUAGGAGAUUCAGGAUUUGCAAGACCCCAAUUAAGGUGUUAAGAUUCUGCUGGUUUUAAGCUGGGUAGAAAUGUUUUUGUGACUAUAUGUCUCUUUAUUGUGUGUGUGUGAAGGUUUUUUUCCUCCUUUUCUCUUUUGAGUGGCAGAAGCAAAGAGGAGGAAGAGUUAAAGUAGGAAAAUAUUUUCUGGAGUUAGUGCAAGGCUCUGAAAUGCUGCAACCCUGAC
rnacentral:lncRNA from 1 species